rnacentral:snRNA from 1 species
GAGAAAUAUGAUUAGUCCUCGUUCCUUCGAGGGACGAUACAAAGAAGAUUAGCAUGAUCCUUGUUCAAGGAUGACACAAACAAAUCAGAGAAAAGUGUGAUUAGU